rnacentral:rRNA from 1 species
CGUGAGGAACCUGCCUUGGAGAGGGGGAUAACACUCCGAAAGGAGUGCUAAUACCGCAUGAUGCAGUUGGGUCGCAUGGCUCUGACUGCCAAAGAUUUAUCGCUCCGAGAUGGCCUCGCGUCUGAUUAGCUAGUAGGCGGGGUAACGGCCCACCUAGGCGACGAUCAGUAGCCGGACUGAGAGGUUGACCGGCCACAUUGGGACUGAGACACGGCCCAG